UUUUAGAGAUGAUGAUUUCUAUCAGAGGCUGUUUCUGAGGAUGAGCAAAGAGUUCUUCCAGUGCUGCAAAAAACUGAUUUGCCAUUCUGAUCAAAAG
rnacentral:snoRNA from 1 species